GAUGAACGCUGGCGGCGUGCCUAAUACAUGCAAGUCGAGCGAACAGACGAGGAGCUUGCUCCUCUGACGUUAGCGGCGGACGGGUGAGUAACACGUGGAUAACCUACCUAUAAGACUGGGAUAACUUCGGGAAACCGGAGCUAAUACCGGAUAAUAUAUUGAACCGCAUGGUUCAAUAGUGAAAGACGGUUUUGCUGUCACUUAUAGAUGGAUCCGCGCCGCAUUAGCUAGUUGGUAAGUUAACGGCUUACCAAGGCAACGAUGCGUAGCCGACCUGAGAGGGUGAUCGGCCACACUGGAACUGAGACACGGUCCAGACUCCUACGGGAGGCAGCAGUAGGGAAUCUUACGCAAUGGGCGAAAGCCUGACGGAGCAACGCCGCGUGAGUGAUGAAGGUCUUCGGAUCGUAAAACUCUGCUAUUAGGGAAGAACAAAUGUGUAAGUAACUAUGCACGUCUUGACGGUACCUAAUCAGAAAGCCACGGCUAACUACGUG
rnacentral:rRNA from 1 species